GAUUUGUGGUUUGACUCCCCUGUUCCCUUGCGGUAACGCUUGUGAGUGACGGAGUGGGUCUGCCUUCCUUCUAGAGAACACGGCUAUCCUUUACUGGACCGGUCGUGUCAUCUAGAUCUUUUACUUUGAAAAAAUUAGAGUGUUUCAAGCAGGCGUAGCGGCUAUGAAUACAUUAGCAUGGAAUAAUGAGUUAGGACUUCGGUUCUAUUUUGUUGGUUUCUAGGACUGAAGUAAUGAUUGAUAGGGAUAGUUGGGGGUGCUAGUAUUCAGCGGCCAGAGGUGAAAUUCUUGGAUUCGCUGAAGACUAACUUAUGCGAAAGCAUU
rnacentral:rRNA from 2 species